GGCGCACAACCAGUGGAGCAUGUGGUUCAAUUCGAUACAAAGCGAUGAACCUUUACCUGGGUUUGAAAUGCACCUGCAAAUCCCGAGAAAUCGGGACAUCCUUCGAGGGUGGUACACAGCUGUUGCAUGGCUGUCGUCAGCUCGUGACGUGAGUUGUUCUCUUAAGUGAGGUAACGAGCGCAACCCCCGUUCUGUGUUAUUGUGUCACAGAAGACUGCCUAGCAUUAUUUUGUUAGGAGGAAGGAGGGGACGACGUCAAGUCAUCAUGAUGCUUAUAUCCAGGGCUACACACAUCCUACAAUGGGCUAUAACAGAGGGUUGCAAGACCGCAAGGUGGAGCUAAUCCCUAAACUAGCCCUCAGUUGGGAUUGCAGGCUGAAACUCGCCUGCAUGAACCCGGAAUUGGUAGUAAUCGCACAUCAGCAGCGUGCGGUGAAUACGUUCUCGCCUCUU
rnacentral:rRNA from 1 species